AAUGAGAGGCUGAAAAAAAUUCUGACAGAUAAGCAGAAGGAAGGCAAGACCCACUACCAGGUCUUGACAGUGCUGUUCUGGCUCCGUCCCACCCUCCAACUCCUCUCGCUCUGCCAGUUCUGGGUAUCCCUUAAGCUGACCAUUUCUGACUGCAUGGAGGAAUGUCCUGCAACAAAUCAAUAUAUCAUCAAGAAUAGGAGGGACAUCCUGGCUCACAGUACGUAGUUAUGGCUGCAACACUAAAAGUGUUAUCUUCAGUUUAUUUGAAGUCUCACCCUAAAGGCUGACAACUUUGAUUGUAUAAAAGUCAUUCCUUCAAUUCAAGUGAUUGCCCACUAUAAAGCUGGAACAUGUGAAUGUGAAUAAAGUAUGUUCUUUGCUUUC